rnacentral:rRNA from 1 species
GAUGAACGCUGGCGGCGUGCCUAAUACAUGCAAGUCGAGCGAACAGACGAGGAGCUUGCUCCUCUGACGUUAGCGGCGGACGGGUGAGUAACACGUGGAUAACCUACCUAUAAGACUGGGAUAACUUCGGGAAACCGGAGCUAAUACCGGAUAAUAUAUUGAACCGCAUGGUUCAAUAGUGAAAGACGGUUUUGCUGUCACUUAUAGAUGGAUCCGCGCCGCAUUAGCUAGUUGGUAAGGUAACGGCUUACCAAGGCGACGAUGCGUAGCCGACCUGAGAGGGUGAUCGGCCACACUGGAACUGAGACACGGUCCAGACUCCUACGGGAGGCAGCAGUAGGGAAUCUUGCGCAAUGGGCGAAAGCCUGACGGAGCAACGCCGCGUGAGUGAUGAAGGUCUUCGGAUCGUAAAACUCUGUUAGUAGGGAAGAACAAAUGUGUAAGUAACUAUGCACGUCUUGACGGUACCUAAUCAGAAAGCCACGGCUAACUACGUG